rnacentral:rRNA from 1 species
CCUACGGGGGGCUGCAGUGGGGAAUAUUGGACAAUGGGGGGAACCCUGAUCCAGCCAUGCCGCGUGUGUGAAGAAGGCCCUCGGGUUGUAAAGCACUUUCAGUGAGGAAGAACGCCUGGUGGUUAAUACCCAUCAGGAAAGACAUCACUCACAGAAGAAGCACCGGCUAACUCCGUGCCAGCAGCCGCGGUAAUACGGAGGGUGCGAGCGUUUAAUCGGAAUUACUGGGCGUAAAGCGCGCGUAGGUGGCUUGAUAAGCCGGUUGUGAAAGCCCCGGGCUCAACCUGGGAACGGCAUCCGGAACUGUCAAGCUAGAGUGAAGGGGGGGAAGGUAGAUUUCCGGGGGUAGGGGGGAAAUGGGAGGAGUUCGGGAGGAAUACAAGGGGCGAAGGCGGCCUUCGGAAUUGAAACUGACCCUGGGUUGCGAAAGCUUGGUAGCAAACAGGAUUAGAUACCCCGGUAGUC